UACGGAGGAUCCAAGCGUUAUCCGGAAUCAUUGGGUUUAAAGGGUCCGUAGGCGGUUUAGUAAGUCAGUGGUGAAAGCCCAUCGUUCAACGGUGGAACGGCCAUUGAUACUGCUGAACUUGAAUUAUUAGGAAGUAACUAGAAUAUGUAGUGUAGCGGUGAAAUGCUUAGAGAUUACAUGGAAUACCAAUGCGAAGGCAGGUUACUACUAAUGGAUUGACGCUGAUGGACGAAAGCGUGGGUAGCGAACAGG
rnacentral:rRNA from 1 species